CCUCUCGGGGUUCAGCCUUGCUGAAUUAUUCACCCUUGUCUUUUGCGUACUUCUUGUUUCCUUGGUGGGUUCGCCCACCACUAGGACAAACAUAAACCUUUUGUAAUUGCAAUCAGCGUCAGUAACAAAUUAAUAAUUACAACUUUCAACAACGGAUCUCUUGGUUCUGGCAUCGAUGAAGAACGCAGCGAAAUGCGAUAAGUAGUGUGAAUUGCAGAAUUCAGUGAAUCAUCGAAUCUUUGAACGCACAUUGCGCCCUUUGGUAUUCCAAAGGGCAUGCCUGUUCGAGCGUCAUUUGUACCCUCAAGCUUUGCUUGGUGUUGGGCGUCUUGUCUCUAGCUUUGCUGGAGACUCGCCUUAAAGUAAUUGGCAGCCGGCCUACUGGUUUCGGAGCGCAGCACAAGUCGCACUCUCUAUCAGCAAAGGUCUAGCAUCCAUUAAGCCUUUUUUUCAACUUUUGACCUCGGAUCAGGUAGGGAUACCCGCUGAACUUAAGCAUAUCAAUAAGCGGAGGAAAAGAAACCAACAGGGAUUGCCCUAGUAACGGCGAGUGAAGCGGCAACAGCUCAAAUUUGAAAUCUGGCUCUUUUAGAGUCCGAGUUGUAAUUUGCAGAGGGCGCUUUGGCUUUGGCAGCGGUCCAAGUUCCUUGGAACAGGACGUCACAGAGGGUGAGAAUCCCGUACGUGGUCGCUGGCUAUUGCCGUGUAAAGCCCCUUCGACGAGUCGAGUUGUUUGGGAAUGCAGCUCUAAAUGGGAGGUACAUUUCUUCUAAAGCUAAAUAUUGGCCAGAGACCGAUAGCGCACAAGUAGAGUGAUCGAAAGAUGAAAAGCACUUUGGAAAGAGAGUCAAACAGCACGUGAAAUUGUUGAAAGGGAAGCGCUUGCAGCCAGACUUGCUUACAGUUGCUCAUCCGGGUUUCUACCCGGUGCACUCUUCUGUAGGCAGGCCAGCAUCAGUUUGGGCGGUAGGAUAAAGGUCUCUGUCACGUACCUCCUUUCGGGGAGGCCUUAUAGGGGAGACGACAUACUACCAGCCUGGACUGAGGUCCGCGCAUCUGCUAGGAUGCUGGCGUAAUGGCUGUAAGCGGCCCGUCUUGAAACACGGACCAAGGAGUCUAACAUCUAUGCGAGUGUUUGGGUGUCAAGCCCGAGCGCGUAAUGAAAGUGAACGGAGGUGGGAACCCGCAAGGGUGCACCAUCGACCGAUCCUGAUGUCUUCGGAAGGAUUUGAGUAAGAGCAUGGCUGUUGGGACCCGAAAGAUGGUGAACUAUGCUUGAAUAGGGUGAAGCCAGAGGAAACUCUGGUGGAGGCUCGCAGCGGUUCUGACGUGCAAAUCGAUCGUCAAAUUUGGGCAUAGGGGCAAAGACAAUC
rnacentral:rRNA from 1 species